rnacentral:rRNA from 1 species
GUGACCCUAGGUUAGGUGGGAUUACCUGCUGAGUUUAAGAAUAUCAAUAAGAGGAGGAAAAGAAACUUACAAGGAUUCCCUUAGUAGCGGCGAGCGAACCAGGAAUAGGAUAGCCUUUGAAUCGGGUGACUCCGUCAUCCGAUUUGUAGUUUGGAGAAGUGUCCUCAGCGGCGGACCAGGCCCAAGUCUCCUGGAAGGGGGCGCCAGAUAAGGUGAGAGCCCCAUUGUGCCCGGACCCUAUUGUACCAUGAGGCACUGUAUACGAGUCCGGUUGUUUGGGAAUGUAGCCUAAAUUGCGUGAUAAAUUCCGUCCAAGUCUAAAUACGAUUGAAAGACCAAUAGCAAACAAGUACCGCUAGGGAAAGAUGAAAAGGACUUUGAAAAGAGAGUCAAAGAGUGCUUGAAAUUAUAGGGAGGGAAGCGGAUAGGGGCCGGCGAUGCGCACCGAUCGAAUAUGGAAUGGCAACGAGCCGAUCCGCCGAUCGACUCGGCGCAUGGACCAGUGUGGAUUGGGGAGGCAUCCAAAGCUCGGGCUCUCGAUAUGCUUGUGGAAUGCAGUAUCCUCGAUUGUGGCAGGCAGCGCAUGCCUCCGGCGUGCUUCAGCAUCUGUGCACUAUGGAUGCUGUCCUGUGGGCUCCCCAUUUGACUCGUCUUGAAAAACAGACCAAGGAGUCUGACAUGUGUGUGAGUCAACGGGUGAGUAAACCCGUAAGGCAUAAGGAAGCUGAUUGGUGGUAUCCCCCAGAGGGGUGCUCCACCGACCGACCUUGAUCUUUUAAGAAGGUUUCGAAUAUGAGCAUACCUGUUGGGACCCAAAAGAUGGUGAACUAUGCAUGAGUGAGGUGAAGCCAUAGGAAACUCUGGUGGAGGUCCGCAUCGAUACUGACAUGCAAAUCAUUCGUAUGACUUAGGUGUAGGGCCCGUGGCUACUUUGUCGCACCGUGCCACAGAAUAAAGAGCUCCAAGUAAGCCAUUUUUGGUAAGCAGAAUUGGCGAUGUGGGAUGAACUGAAAUCCGGGUUUUAGUGCCAAACUGCGCACUAAUCUAGAUCCCACAAAGGGUGUUGGUUGAUUAAGACAGCAGGACGGUGGUCAUGGAAGUCAAAAUCCGCUAAGGAGUGUGUAACAACUGACCUGCCAAAUAUACUAGCCCCGAAAAUGAAUGGCGCUUAAGCGAGCGACCUAUACCCGGCCGUCGGGGAAAGUUCCAGGCCCCGAUGAGUAGGAGGGCGCGGCGAUCGCUACAAAUCCUUGGGCGAGAGCCCGAGCAGAGCGGCCGUUGGUGCAGCUAUUGGUGGUAGUAGCAAAUAUUCAAAUAAGAACUUUGAAGUACGAAGAUGGGUAAGAUUCCAUGUGAACGGCACUUGCACAAGGGUUAGUCGAUCCUAAGGGUCGGGAGAACCCCGACAUAUAGCGCAUUUCAUGAGUACUUCGAAAGGGAAUCAGGUUAAAAUUCCUAGACUGGGAUAUGGCAGUCAACGGCAACGUUAGGAUGUCCGGAGAUGUCGGCGGGAGCCUCGGGAAGAGUUAUCUUUUCUGUUUAACAGCCUGCUCACCCUGGAAUCGGCUCGGCCAGAGGUAGGGUCCAGCGGCUAGAAGAGCACCGCACGUCGCGUGGUGUCUGGUGCACUAUCGGUGGCCCUUGAAAUUCUAGAGGACCAAAUGCCGUCCACGCCCGAUCGUACUCAUAACCACAUUAGGUCUCUAAUGGGAACAACCUCUGGUCGAUGGAACAAUAUAGGCAAGGAAAGUCGGCAAAAUGGUUCUGUAACUUCUGGAAAAGGAUUGGAACUGAGGGCUGGGCUUGAGAGUCCCAGUCCUGAACCCGUCGGCUGUCGGUGGACUACUCGAGCUGAUCCCGCAGCGAGAGCGGGUCACCACAUGCCGGUCGAGGGAUGGACUGGGAAUAGUUCCUUCGGGGGCCUUCCCCGUGCAUCGAACAGCCAACUUAGACCUUGUAUGGACAAGGGGAAUCCAACUGUUUAAUUAAAACAAAAAAUUGCGAUGGUCCCAACGGAUGUUCACACAUUGUGAUUUCUGCCCAGUGCUUUGGAUGUCAAAGUGAAUAAAUUCAACCAAGCAUGGGUAAAUGGCGGGAGUAACUAUGACUCUCUUAAGGUAGCCAAAUGACUCGUCAUCUAAUUAGUGACGUGCAUUAAUGGAUUAACGUGAUUCCCACUAUCCCUAUCUAUUAUCCAGCGAAACCACAGCCCAGGGAACGGGCUUGGAAGAUUCAAUGGGGAAAGAAGACCCUCUUGAGCAUGACUCUACUUCGACUUUGUGAAAUGACUUGAGAGGUGUAGUAUAAGUGGGAGCCGAAAGCCGAGAGUGAAAUACCACUACUUCUAACAUUAUUUUACUUAUUUCGUGAAUUGGAAGCAGGGCACUGCCCCUCUUUUUAGACCCAAGGCUCGCUCUUUGGGCUGAUCCAGGUGGAAGACAUUGUCAGGUGGGGAGUUUGGCUGGGGCAGCACAUCUUUUAAAAGAUAACACAGGUGUCCUAAGAUGAGCUCAAAGAGAAAAAAAAUAUCGUGUGGAACAGAAGGGUAAAAGCUCGUUUGAUUCUGAUUUCUAGUACGAAUACGAACCAUGAAAGCGUGGCCUAACGAUCCUUUAGACCUUCGGAAUUUGAAGCUAGAGGUGUCAAAAAAGUGUUACCACAUGGAUAACUGGCCUAUUUCAGCCAAGCGUUCAUAGCGACGUUGCUUGUUCAUCCUUUGAUGUCGGCUCGUCCUAUCAUUGUGAAGCAGAAUUCACCAAGUGUUGGAAUGUUCAUCAACAAUUAGAGAACAUGAGCUGGGUUUAGACCAUCGUGAGACAAGUUAGUUUUACCCUACUUGUGACAGUGUCGCAGUAGUAAUUCAACCUAGUACGAGAGGAAACGUUAAUUCACAUAAUUUGCAAUCGCACUUGGUUGAAAAGACAGUGGUGCAAAGCUACCGUGUCGUAGAUUAUGACUGAACGCCUCUAAUUCAGAAUUCGGGCUAGAAGCGACGCAUGCGCCCGUUGUCCGCUUGACGACCCGCAGUAGGGACCUUGGCCCCCAAGGGCACAUAUCGUUUGCUAAACCACCACGGCAGAAGAAUCGCGGUGGCCACCUUGAAGUAUAAUUUCCAUCGAGUGGCGAGUAGAAUCCUUUGCAUA